AUAAGGAUGGAAGAGACCCAUGUGGUCUUUACAACACAUAUGGUAGAAGGCAUUGCCACCUACUUCGUGGCAUCUAACCAUGUUUUUGU